GAUGAAGAACGCAGCGAAAUGCGAUACGUAAUGUGAAUUGCAGAUCUCUCAGUGAACCAUCGAAUUUUUGAACGCACAUAGCGCCCGCCGGUCAUUCCGGCGGGCAUGCCUGUCCGAGCGUCGAUGACGCCGCUCGAGCCCCCGUGCUCGGUGUUGGGGCGCUAGGUCUCCCAGAGGCCUAGGCCCCCAAGUAGCAGUGCGCGGUCCGGCUGCGGGCCCCGGGUACAGUAACUUCACUGUUGAGAUGCCCUGGGAGCCGCUGGCUGGAUCAGCCGUAAAACCCCCGACAUAGGCCUUCCUGUCCGCCCCCGGCGGGGAGGGAGACCGCCUAAUGUUGACCUCGGAUCAGGUAGGACUACCCGCUGAACUUAAGCAUAUCAAUAAGCGGAGGA
rnacentral:misc_RNA from 1 species